AUGUAUCAUACACACUUGUAUAUUUCAAUUACUCACUGGUUUGCUAAAUAUUUUCGCUUUCUAGCUGCUUUUUUAGGACUCACACAUUUAGAAGAGCUAGAUUUAUCAAACAACAGUCUGAAAAACUUCGACUACGGAGUUCUAGAAGACCUGUAUUUUUUGAAACUCUUGUGGCUCAGAGAUAACCCUUGGAAAUGUGACUACAACAUCCACUACCUCUACUACUGGCUGAAGCACCACUACAACGUCCAUUAUAGUGGUCUGGAAUGCAAAAUGCCUGAGGAGUACAAAGGAUGGUCUGUGGCAAAAUACGUUCGGAGUUACUAUGAAGAAUGCCCCAAAGACAAGUUACCAGCAUACCCUGACACAUUUGACCAAGACACAGAAGAUGAUGAAUGGGAAAAAGUACAUAGGGAUCACACAGCAAAGAAGCAAAGUGUAAGAAUCACCAUCGUGGGAUAAUUUAGAAAUGGUUCUGGUUGUAACUAGUUUCAUACUUGCUAUACUGGGGUCAGAAAACCAUGUUUACAUUUUGAUUAACUGUGUUACCUAUUUAUGCAGGGUUAUCCAGCUACAGGAACCUUCUUUAAUUAUUUUGUAAUUAUUAUUAUGUUGUGAUCAUGACAGCAAUUAAGGGAGUUCUCUCUUCCUGCUUGCCUGUCCAUCUGCAGAGCUGCCUCUGGUGAUACACAAUUCCACACUGGUAACCUGCAGGAGUUGGACCCUAAUGAUGGCAUUAGAAUUUCAUAUAUAAAUGUUUUUACUGCUUUUUGAAAAUUAAAAAAAAA